AAAAACAGAGCUGAGACAUCAGGAGCCUCUGAGCGGCCUUCUGAUUUCAAGAUCAGCAGAAUUCUUGUGUUGGCAACAUCCCUCGAUCCAUGGUAACAGAACCAACAGCAGGCAGAGGGAGGGUCUGCCUUGUUCCAGAGCUUGAUCCAAUCAGCCCAAUACACCUGAAAACAGAAGUAUGUGGAAAGGACCUUCCCAUCUGUAAGGAAUUCUUCUUCCCCUUGGAUGUUAAGCCGGACAUUCUCCGUGAUAGUAAUUGGAGAGAUGAAUCAUCUAAAGACCAAAGGAGGUGAAGGACAUGAAGCAUGAAGACAGACUAUUACUCUCUUUCUGCUCCAAAUGAUGCUCAACUUGCAACAAGGUCUUGUUCAACAAUUCACAACCACAUCUGAAAAACCUCGUGUCUGCAGCUUUUGUAACUGCACUGAAUUCCAAAGUAGACUGAACACCCGUUCCUAAUCAUGGGAUCCUGAUUGGAAUGAAAUUUGUACUCUGAAGAGAAAUCACUCAUAUUCCAGGAGUGUUUUUUCUCCCCUCUGGUCAAAUUAACUGUGUAAAUAUUACAAACAAAAAAAAUAUAUGCA